rnacentral:rRNA from 1 species
CCUACGGGGGGCAGCAGUGAGGAAUAUUGGUCAAUGGCCGGAAGGCUGAACCAGCCAAGUAGCGUGAAGGAUGACUGCCCUACGGGUUGUAAACUUCUUUUAUAAAGGAAUAAAGUGAGGCACGUGUGCCUUUUUGUAUGUACUUUAUGAAUAAGGAGCGGCUAACUCCGGGCCAGCAGCCGCGGUAAUACGGAGGAUCCGAGCGUUAUCCGGAUUUAUUGGGGUUAAAGGGAGCGUAGAUGGGUUGUUAAGUCAGUUGUGAAAGUUUGCGGCGCAACCGUAAAAUUGCAAUUGAUACUGGCAGCCUUGAGUACAGUUGAGGUAGGCGGAAUUCGUGGUGUAGCGGUGAAAUGCUUAGAUAUCACGAAGAACUCCGAUUGCGAAGGCAGCUUACUAAACUGCCACUGACAUUGAUGCUCGAAAGUGUGGGUAUCAAACAGGAUUAGAUACCCCUGUAGUC